rnacentral:rRNA from 1 species
CACCUGUUCCCAUUCCGAACACAGAAGUUAAGCUCUUUUACGCCGAAAGUACUUGCGGUUAACCGCCGGGAGGAUAGGUAAUCGCCGCUU